rnacentral:rRNA from 1 species
UACAGAGGUCUCAAGCGUUGUUCGGAUUCAUUGGGCGUAAAGGGUGCGUAGGCGGCGCGGUAAGUCGGGUGUGAAAUCUCGGAGCUUAACUCCGAAACUGCAUUCGAUACUGCCGUGCUUGAGGACUGGAGAGGAGACUGGAAUUUACGGUGUAGCGGUGAAAUGCGUAGAUAUCGUAAGGAAGACCAGUGGCGAAGGCGGGUCUCUGGACAAUUGCUGACGCUCAGGCACGAAAGCGUGGGGAGCAAAAGGG